rnacentral:rRNA from 1 species
GAUGAACGCUGGCGGCGUGCCUAAUACAUGCAAGUAGAACGCUGAAGGAAGGAGCUUGCUCUUUCCGGAUGAGUUGCGAACGGGUGAGUAACGCGUAGGUAACCUGCCUGGUAGCGGGGGAUAACUAUUGGAAACGAUAGCUAAUACCGCAUAACAGUAGAUGUUGCAUGAUAUCUACUUAAAAGGUGCAAUUGCACCACUACCAGAUGGACCUGCGUUGUAUUAGCUAGUUGGUGAGGUAACGGCUCACCAAGGCGACGAUACAUAGCCGACCUGAGAGGGUGAUCGGCCACACUGGGACUGAGACACGGCCCAGACUCCUACGGGAGGCAGCAGUAGGGAAUCUUCGGCAAUGGACGGAAGUCUGACCGAGCAACGCCGCGUGAGUGAAGAGGGUUUUCGGAUCGUAAAGCUCUGUUGUAAGAGAAGAACGAGUGUGAGAGUGGAAAGUUCACACUGUGACGGUAUCUUACCAGAAAGGGACGGCUAACUACGUG